rnacentral:rRNA from 1 species
GAUUAACGCUAGCGGCAGGCCUAAUACAUGCAAGUCGAACGGGAUUCAAAGUAGCAAUAUUUUGAUGAGAGUGGCGCACGGGUGAGUAACACGUAUGCAAUUUACCUUUAACUGGGGGAUAGCCCUCCGAAAGGAGGAUUAAUACCGCAUAAUAUAUUGAAAUGGCAUCAUUUUUAAUAUUAAACCUACGGGGGUUAAAGAUGAGCAUGCAUCCGAUUAGCUAGUUGGUGUGGUAACGGCUCACCAAGGCAACGAUCGGUAGGGGGUCUGAGAGGAUGAUCCCCCACACUGGUACUGAGACACGGACCAGACUCCUACGGGAGGCAGCAGUAAGGAAUAUUGGACAAUGGAGGCAACUCUGAUCCAGCCAUGCCGCGUGAAGGAUUAAGGCCCUAUGGGUUGUAAACUUCUUUUAGACGGGACAAAACCCUUUACGUGUAAAGGGUUGAUGGUACUGUCAGAAUAAGCAUCGGCUAACUUCGUG